GUGGGGAAUAUUGGACAAUGGGGGGAACCCUGAUCCAGCCAUGCCGCGUGUGUGAAGAAGGCCUUUUGGUUGUAAAGCACUUUAAGCGAGGAGGAGGCUACCGAGAUUAAUACUCUUGGAUAGUGGACGUUACUCGCAGAAUAAGCACCGGCUAACUCUGUGCCAGCAGCCGCGGUAAUACAGAGGGUGCAAGCGUUAAUCGGAUUUACUGGGCGUAAAGCGCGCGUAGGUGGCCAAUUAAGACAAAUGUGAAAUCCCCGAGCUUAACUUGGGAAUUGCAUUCGAUACUGGUUGGCUAGAGUAUGGGAGAGGAUGGUAGAAUUCCAGGUGUAGCGGUGAAAUGCGUAGAGAUCUGGAGGAAUACCGAUGGCGAAGGCAGCCAUCUGGCCUAAUACUGACACUGAGGUGCGAAAGCAUGGGGAGCAAACAGGAUUAGAAACCCCAGUAGUCC
rnacentral:rRNA from 1 species